rnacentral:rRNA from 1 species
UACAGAGGUCCCGAGCGUUGUUCGGAUUCAUUGGGCGUAAAGGGUGCGUAGGCGGCGGGGCAAGUCUGAUGUGAAAUCCCGGGGCUCAACCCCGGAACUGCAUUGGAUACUGCCUUGCUCGAGUACUGGAGAGGGAACUGGAAUUUACGGUGUAGCAGUGAAAUGCGUAGAGAUCGUAAGGAAGGCCAGUGGCGAAGGCGGCACUCUGGGCCGAUACUGACACUGAGGAGCGAAAGCGUGGGGAGCGAACAGG